rnacentral:rRNA from 1 species
CCUACGGGAGGCAGCAGUGGGGAAUAUUGCACAAUGGGGGAAACCCUGAUGCAGCGACGCCGCGUGAGCGAUGAAGUAUUUCGGUAUGUAAAGCUCUGUCAGCAGGGAAGAAAAUGACGGUACCUGACUAAGAAGCCCCGGCUAACUACGUGCCAGCAGCCGCGGUAAUACGUAGGGGGCAAGCGUGAUCCGGAUUUACUGGGUGUAACGGGAGCGUAGACGGUGCAGCAAGUCUGAUGUGAAAGGUCGGGGCCCAACCCCGGGAAUGCAUUGGAAACUGGUGAACUGGAGUACAGGAGAGGUAAGCGGAAUUUCUAGUGUAGCGGUGAAAGGCGUAGAUAUUAGGAGGAACACCAGUGGCGAAGGCGGCUUACUGGACUGUAACUGACGUUGAGGCUCGAAAGCGUGGGGAGCAAACAGGAUUAGAUACCCUUGUAGGC